rnacentral:rRNA from 1 species
GGACCGUAACCCGCGAACGGGACGGGACGCCGUCGAAGGUAGGUUNAUGAUUGGGGUG